AGGACGAACGCUGGCGGCGUGCUUAACACAUGCAAGUCGAGCGAGAACCAGGGCUUCGGCUCUGGGGACAGCGGCGAACGGGUGAGUAACACGUGGGUAAUCAACCCUCGACAUCGGGAUAGCCCGGGGAAACCCGGAUUAAUACCGAAUGCUCCGUCUGGCCUUCGGGCCGGCCGGAAAAGGUAGCUUCGGCCUCCGGUCGGGGACGAGCCCGCGGCGGAUUAGCUUGUUGGUGGGGUAAAGGCCCACCAAGGCGACGAUCCGUAGCUGGUCUGAGAGGACGAUCAGCCACACUGGGACUGAGACACGGCCCAGACUCCUACGGGAGGCAGCAGUGGGGAAUCUUGCGCAAUGGGCGAAAGCCUGACGCAGCGACGCCGCGUGAGGGAAGAAGGCCUUCGGGUUGUAAACCUCUUUCAGGAGGGACGAAGCCACUCGGGUUAAUAGCCCAGAGGGUGACGGUACCUCCAGAAGAAGCCCGGCUAACUACGUGCCAGCAGCCGCGGUAA
rnacentral:rRNA from 1 species